GCAAACUUGGUCAUUUAGAGGAAGUAAAAGUCGUAACAAGGUCUCCGUUGGUGAACCAGCGGAGGGAUCAUUACAGGAAUAAGCACUUGCGCCCCUGCGGCAAAAGCGCAAAAACCCCAGUGAACUACACCUUAUUAGAGGCGUCCCAGGUUGUGCCGACUGGCCCCUCGUGCUCUGUCUCUCCCUGUCAAGGGGGGAAGCGGACUAGGGGGCCGUCGGGACGCUGGGCGCACCCAAUAAAACACAUCUAGCCCCCGUAGGGAUACUUCUGAUUUAAACAUGAGAUAAAUAGCUGAAAACUUUCAACAACGGAUCUCUUGGCUCCAGCAUCGAUGAAGAACGCAGC
rnacentral:misc_RNA from 1 species